rnacentral:rRNA from 1 species
UACGUAGGUGGCAAGCGUUGUCCGGAUUUACUGGGCGUAAAGAGCGCGCAGGCGGUCGAGUAAGUCGAAUGUGAAAGCCCCCGGCUUAACUGGGGAGGGUCAUUCGAUACUGUUCGACUUGAAGGCAGGAGAGGGCAGCAGAAUUCCCGGUGUAGUGGUGAAAUGCGUAGAUAUCGGGAGGAAUACCAGUGGCGAAGGCGGCUCUCUGGGACGGUACUGACGCUGAGACGCGAAAGCGUGGGGAGCGAACAGG